rnacentral:rRNA from 1 species
CUUCGGGAGAAGGAUGACCCUGAGUAGGCGAAAGGGAGAAACCCCCGGAACAGAAAAGGGUGGCAGAAAAGAGGCCCAAGCAACUGUUUACCAAAAACACAGGUGCCUGCGAAAGCGAAAGCUGAAGCAUAGGUGCUGACGCCUGCCCGGUGCUGGAAGGUUAAGGAGAGAGGUCAGCGAAAGCGAAGCUUUGAACUGAAGCCCCAGUGAACGGCGGCCGUAACAAUAACGGUCCUAAGGUAGCGAAAUUCCUUGUCGGGUAAGUUCCGACCCGCAUGAAAGGCGUAAUGAUUUGGGCACUGUCUCAACGAGGGGCCCGGUGAAAUUGAAAUACCUGUGAAGAUGCAGGUUACCCGCGACUGGACAGAAAGACCCCAUGGAGCUUCACUGCAGCUUGAGAUUGAAUCCCGGUGACAUAUGCACAGGAUAGGUGGGAGGCUAAGAAGUAAUGCCUUUGGGUGUUACAGAGCCGAUGUUGGGAUACCACCCUUAUGUUGCUGAGAUUCUAACACGGAGACUAACAACCUCGUGGACCAUCUCAGGCAGGCGGUUUGACUGGGGCGGUCGCCUCCUAAAAUGUAACGGAGGCGCCCAAAGGUUCCCUCAGGCCGGACAGAAACCGGCCGAAGAGUGCAAAGGCAGAAGGGAGCUUGACUGCGAGACAGACAAGUCGAGCAGAGACGAAAGUCGGGCUUAGUGAUCCGGUGGUACUGAGUGGAAAGGCCAUCGCUCAACGGAUAAAAGCUACCCUGGGGAUAACAGGCUAAUCUCUCCCAAGAGUUCAUAUCGACGGGGAGGUUUGGCACCUCGAUGUCGGCUCAUCACAUCCUGGAGCUGGAGUAGGUUCCAAGGGUUGGGCUGUUCGCCCAUUGAAGUGGUACGCGAGCUGGGUUCAAAACGUCGUGAGACAGUUUGGUUCAUAUCCAUCGCGGGCGCAAGAAGUUUGAGGGAGGCUGCUCCUAGUACGAGAGGACCGGAGUGGACGGAUCAACGGUGUACCAGUUGUCACGCCAGUGGCACGGCUGGAAAGCCGCAUCCGGAAAGGAUAAACGCUGAAAGCAUCUAAGCGUGAAGCCCGUCCCGAGAUGAGACUUCUCAUCAGCAAUGAGUAAGACCCCUUAAAGACGAUGAGGUUGAUAGGCUGUGAGUGGAAGUGGCGCAAGUCAUGGAGCGACGCAGUACUAAUAGGUCGAGGUCUUACC